UGGGGAAUAUUGCACAAUGGGCGCAAGCCUGAUGCAGCCAUGCCGCGUGUAUGAACAAGGCCUUCGGGUUGUAAAGUACUUUCAGCGGGGAGGAAGGGAGUAAAGUUAAUACCUUUGCUCAUUGACGUUACCCGCAGAAGAAGCACCGGCUAACUCCGUGCCAGCAGCCGCGGUAAUACGGAGGGUGCAAGCGUUAAUCGGAAUUACUGGGCGUAAAGCGCACGCAGGCGGUUUGUUAAGUCAGAUGUGAAAUCCCCGGGCUCAACCUGGGAACUGCAUCUGAUACUGGCAAGCUUGAGUCUCGUAGAGGGGGGUAGAAUUCCAGGUGUAGCGGUGAAAUGCGUAGAGAUCUGGAGGAAUACCGGUGGCGAAGGCGGCCCCCUGGACGAAGACUGACGCUCAGGUGCGAAAGCGUGGGGAGCAAACAGG
rnacentral:rRNA from 1 species